rnacentral:rRNA from 1 species
UACGGAGGGCGCGAGCGUUACCCGGAUUUACUGGGCGUAAAGGGCGUGUAGGCGGCUUGGGGCGUCCCAUGUGAAAAGCCACGGCUCAACCGUGGAGGAGCGUGGGAUACGCUCAGGCUAGACGGUGGGAGAGGGUGGUGGAAUUCCCGGAGUAGCGGUGAAAUGCGCAGAUACCGGGAGGAACGCCGAUGGCGAAGGCAGCCACCUGGCUUACUUGUGACGCUGAGGCGCGAAAGCGUGGGGAGCAAACCGG